AUUGAACGCUGGCGGCAGGCCUAACACAUGCAAGUCGAACGAGUGGCGGACGGGUGAGUAAUGUCUGGGAAACUGCCCGAUGGAGGGGGAUCACUACUGGAAACGGUAGCUAAUACCGCAUACCCUCGGAUGUGCCCAGAUGGGAUUAGCUAGUAGGUGGGGUAACGGCUCACCGAGGCGACGAUCCCUAGCUGGUCUGAGGGGAUGACCAGCCAACCUGGAACGGGGACACGGUCCAGAUUCCUACGGGAGGCAGCAGUGGGGAAUAUUGCAAAAUGGGGGCAAGCCUGAGGCAGCCAUGCCGCGUGUAUGAAGAAGGCCUUCGGGUUGUAAAGUACUUUCAGCGAGGAGGCGUUACUCGCAGAAGAAGCACCGGCUAACUCCGUGCCAGCAGCCGCGGUAAUUC
rnacentral:rRNA from 1 species